ACCAGUGUUAUUGUUCAGAAAAAGUUCUCUUAUUUGUUUAACUACUUUGUUUGUUUGUUUGUUCAACAGAUUGGGUGGCCAGCUUCUGUGCAGAAAAAGGGAAAGCACUGACACACUCAACUGAAGAAGUUGUCUUGUGAUGAAACAGCACAUUUCAGUGACCGAUGACAGCAUGGAGAACUAUAAAACAGAAAUUCCUCAGUAGCUGCAAAGCAAAUGUGUUACGAGUGUCAUUUGGAAGUCAGAGCUCAGGUAGUCCCAAGGAUUGGAAUCCACUGUUUCAUGAUCUGUGCUUUGCAACUGAAUUAAGAUUUGACAAGCCUAUAAACACAGCACGAUGCUUCACGCCGCUACAGGGAGGAUAUCUAAAAUGGCAGCAAUAUAAUCACAUCCCUACAAUCAGUGUGGGACUGAGAUAGCUAACAAAUUUUUUGUCGUCACUGUUUUGAAAUCAACGGUUGGUUUUCCUGUGACAUUACUGCAUAUCUAAAACUGUAAUAAAUUAAUAGUAAGAAUGAGAACA
rnacentral:lncRNA from 1 species